rnacentral:rRNA from 1 species
UUAGAGUUUGAUCCUGGCUCAGGACGAACGCUGGCGGCGCGCCUAACACAUGCAAGUCGAACGGAGUCAAGAGGAGCUUGCUUUUCUUGACUUAGUGGCGAACGGGUGAGUAACGCGUGAGUAACCUGCCCUGGAGUGGGGGACAACAGUUGGAAACGACUGCUAAUACCGCAUAAGCCCACGAUCCGGCAUCGGAUUGAGGGAAAAGGAUUUAUUCGCUUCAGGAUGGACUCGCGUCCAAUUAGCUAGUUGGUGAGGUAACGGCCCACCAAGGCGACGAUUGGUAGCCGGACUGAGAGGUUGAACGGCCACAUUGGGACUGAGACACGGCCCAGACUCCUACGGGAGGCAGCAGUGGGGGAUAUUGCACAAUGGGGGAAACCCUGAUGCAGCGACGCCGCGUGGAGGAAGAAGGUUUUCGGAUUGUAAACUCCUGUCGUUAGGGACGAUAAUGACGGUACCUAACAAGAAAGCACCGGCUAACUACGUGCCAGCAGCCGCGGUAAAACGUAGGGUGCAAGCGUUGUCCGGAAUUACUGGGUGUAAAGGGAGCGCAGGCGGACCGGCAAGUUGGAAGUGAAAACUAUGGGCUCAACCCAUAAAUUGCUUUCAAAACUGCUGGCCUUGAGUAGUGCAGAGGUAGGUGGAAUUCCCGGUGUAGCGGUGGAAUGCGUAGAUAUCGGGAGGAACACCAGUGGCGAAGGCGACCUACUGGGCACCAACUGACGCUGAGGCUCGAAAGCAUGGGUAGCAAACAGGAUUAGAUACCCUGGUAGUCCAUGCCGUAAACGAUGAUUACUAGGUGUUGGAGGAUUGACCCCUUCAGUGCCGCAGUUAACACAAUAAGUAAUCCACCUGGGGAGUACGACCGCAAGGUUGAAACUCAAAGGAAUUGACGG